GAUGAACGCUGGCGGCGUGCCUAAUACAUGCAAGUCGAGCGAACAGACGAGAAGCUUGCUCCUCUGACGUUAGCGGCGGACGGGGUAGUAACACGUUGAUAACCUACCUAUACUACUGUGAUAACUUCGGGCAGCCGCAGCUAAUACCGGAUAAUAUAUUGCACCGCAUGGUUCAAUAGUGAAAGACGGUCUUGCUGUCACUUAUAUACGUAUCCUCGCCGCAUUAGCUAGUUGGUAAGGUAACGGGUUACCAAGGCAACGAUGCGAAGCCGACCUGAUAGGGUGAGCGGACAAACAGGAACAGAGAAACGGUGCAGCCGCCCACGGGAGGAAGCAGUGGGGAAGUUUGGACAAUGGGCGAAAGGGUGAAGGAGCAAAGCCGCGUGAGUGAUGAAGGGAUUAGGAUCGUAAAACUCUGUUAUUAGGGAAGAAGAAAAAUAUAACCCAAUAUGCACGACUUGACGGUACCUAAACAGAAAGCCCCGGCUAACUACGUG
rnacentral:rRNA from 1 species